ensembl:lncRNA
GUUCAUGCCAUGUCAAGCCUGUUCUAGUCAAGUCUGUGUAUCUUGUUUGGAUUAUUGUUUGGAUUUUGGAUUACACCUUUUGUAAAUAAACUGCACUUGGGUUCAUCUGCACUCGCCUUCAGUAGACUAAUUGUAUUAAAGGCUCCUGUAAGAGGGACUUUUAUUAUGAAACCGGAAUUGUUAUAGUACGACGUUAGGGGGCAGUGUAGUUUGAUGAGCUGCCGCUGUUUGGUGUGUUCGUGUGAUCUGUCCAAGCCAUCAGCUGCAAGGAUGAUGCUUCCAGUUUAUUUGUGGAGAUUGUUGCAGAUUUAAUAUCAGGGUGUUAGUCACUGACCACAAAGUAAGCCUAUUUUAUUUAUAUUUGUGUUAGCAGAGAUCGCUAUAGUGUUAUAUGCGUUUGUUCCAUAUAAACAUGCCUAGACAUGUCCGGUAACGAUGGUUCUUUAGUGUUUUCCGAUCGGGAAUAUUAUUUAAUGUGUGAUUAUUCUUUAUAAAGAUGUAAAUCAGUGUUAUGAUGUCUUAACAACGUGAUGUUGUUCUGUUAAUCUGCUACAAGACCAAACAAGUGAUUAGCGUUCUGUUUAUGUAAAUGUUAUUCAUAUGCACCAUGAUUCUAUCCAUAUAUGGGAGGUUUAUGUUCAUAGGGACAAAUGAUCACUCAUGACUUAUAGUUUUCUGUGAAAUAUCUGGUUUCCCUUCAUUUAACUGUGUUUUCAGUAGAGAAAUGCCAAUUAUGUGAAUAUUAUGAAUGCUUCGGUUUCAUUAUGUAACAGUAAAUGUUACUAUUGUUUAUAUAUAUCCUUAGUUUAUUCAUUUCUUUAUUGUAUUUAUUUUUUGCAGACUAUCUACGCCUUUGAUUGUACAUCUGUGGGCCUUCCUUUUCUCUACUAAUACAACAUUGAAAGCUAAUCACCUGCCUCCUCAUUAUUGGUGCUCUGACCGGCACCCAGGGGGGUUUACUCAUCCAUUACCUGAUCAGAACCUAACAGUCCUAAAGUCUCUCCAACAAAUUUGGUCCUUCGAGCCGGAUGAGUAUUCCCUUUUGACAUGAUGGAUCCUGAUGAGGAGAUUGUUAGUGGUGCUCGUCCUAAACGUCAUACUCGUCCACCAGCUCACCUUCAGCAGUAUGAAGUACAGUAUACCCGAGUCAGACCUGUCGCUGAGUAUGAUGUUCCGCAUCCUUUGGAGGCACCUGUCCGCCGGACUACCCCCCUAUCCUUCCAGCCUUACGCCACUCCCCCUGGUGGUGACCUGGUCUGUUCUGAUGGCUCACAGAUCAUAGCCUCAAAUUAUCAGCCUCCACAGCAUGCUGAAUUCCAUCAGUCAUCCUUCUCCUCGCCUCAAGCAGCUGGUUUGAUUUCCUCUGCACACGGCAGUGAAUUAGAGCACCUGCGUCAUGAGCAUGCACAACUUAUUCAGACUCAUCAGGCUUUCCAAGCAGACCUGAGGGAGCUGAGAGAAGUCCGUGCGGAAGUCAGAGAAUUAGUUCAAGUUGCUCAGUCACUUCGAGCUGACCUUAGUCUAACCAGAGGCCAGAAUCUCUCAUCAGCACAGCCACCAGCAUUGCAGCUAUCCAGUCCUCCUGUGAGGCGGUAUGAAUCCACACCUUUCGCGGAUGAGGGAAAUUUUGCGGAUCUUCCCCCACCACCCUGGCCUGAGCCUGACGUUGACUGGAUGAACCAGGUGGGUGACCUUACACUCUCCGACACGGGCGCCACUGUUUACCACCCAGUGAUGCCAGAGAAUAGAAAGUAUUCCUUUGUGUUCCCGGCUACUGAAACACGCCCUCCUAAGCCUUAUGCUCCUGACACUGGCGGGUUCCCCCCACCUCCAACCCCUAAAGAGCUUCGAGAGUUACUCACAUCUGCGGCCAUGCCCUUACCUGCUAACCGCACAACCGUGCCUGUUUCUUCACGAUUCAGUUCAGUACCUGCUCAUUUGAAUCCUCCAUCCUUUGCACCAAAGGCAGAGCCCGGCCUAUGUUCUGUAGCACCUCAUUCUAGGUCUGAAUAUUUAUACCGGGGACCUUCUCCCACGAUUCCUAAGUUCAGCCGGUCUGAUCCUGGCGAGUUUGCUCGGCUCCGGAUAGCUCUGGAGAACCUGCUUCCCCCAGAUGGGACUGAACUUUUCAAAUAUCAGAUCUUAGUGGAUCACCUUAAGCUGGAGGAGGCUAGAAUGAUAGCAGAUGCUUAUCUUAACUCACCAACUCCAUUCACUGAUACGAUGGCAGCACUUCAUGAUAAAUUUGGUCAACCACAUCAGCUAGCUUUAAGGAAGAUUGCUAGUGUCCUUGAGAGUCCUGACAUAAAGAGAGGCGAUAUAUCAGCCUUCCAAAGGUUUGCUCUCCAAGUGCAGUCAUUAGUGGGCCUAUUGAGAACUCUGGGACGUGAUGGUGAGCUGGAGUUGAGUUGUGGGUCCCACGUCGCACGCCUCCUGAGUAAGCUACCCCCUGAGCAGAGAGCUGAGUUUCGUCGACAUAUGUUCCGCCAACCUGGCACAACCCCUAAUCUGACUGAUCUUUCAAACUGGCUUCGUUACGAAACUUGGUGCCACAGUUAUGAUACUGAGCCGAUGCCCAAGGGUUCACAUGCAAAAUCAGAUUCAGGGAAGAGAACUGUGACCAUCCUACAUGGAGUUGGAGAAUCCCUGGUUGAGUCUCCCGUCCAUCAUAAAGGUCCUGUUUCACAGACCAAGCCUGCCAAAGUGAAACGUUAUUGUCCUUUCUGUGAUAAGACUGAGCAUUACCUGAGCCAGUGUGCCUCCUUCGCUAAGCUUACCUCAGACCAGGUCAGGACUUGGAUCCGCAGUAACAACCGUUGUUGGCGCUGUGCCGGGGCACACCAGGCUGCUCAGUGUGACCUUAAAAAGCCCUGCAACAUCUGCCAGGGCACCCAUCUCCGCCCUCUCCAUGAGGUGAAUGUUAGUCCAUCCCCAAAGGAGGAUCCAGCUAACAUGGAGAAGAGCUGCCUAACAAAUUCCUCCCCAGAUAGGUUCUUUCUGGAUAAACCCUCUGUCAAAGGACGAGUUAUGCUCAAAGUGGUUCCAGUGAAUCUGCAUUAUGAAGAUCGAUCCUUGGACACCUUCGCUCUUCUUGACGAUGGGUCAGAGAGAACCAUUCUACUCUCCACUGCAGUUAAGGCCUUAGGGAUUCAGGGUAACCCAGAAAAUCUUCCAUUGCGGACAGUGAGAGAUGAUAUUCAGGUCAUUCAUGGUUGCUCUAUUUCCUUUCAAGUCUCUCCCCUCUUUAAACCUCAGACCAGUUAUAAGAUCAAUCAUGCCUUCACAGCUGAUCGUCUUAACCUGUCACGCCAGUCUUACCCAGUAGAGAACAGCUGCUAUGAAACCACAACUUUGAUCUUACAUCUAUAUAUUUCUAUUCUAUCAGGCCUCUGACACUGUUGGUGCUG